rnacentral:rRNA from 1 species
AUUGAACGCUGGCGGCAGGCCUAACACAUGCAAGUCGAGCGAGUGGCGGACGGGUGAGUAAUGUAUGGGGACUGCCCGAUAGAGGGGGAUAACUACUGGAAACGGUGGCCAAUACCGCAUACUAUCGGAUAACCCAUAUGGGAUUAGCUAGUAGGUGGGGUAAAGGCUCACAUAGGCGACGAUCUCUAGCUGGUCUGAGAGGAUGAUGAGCCACACUGGGACUGGGACACGCCCCGAACUCCUAGGGAGGCAGCAGUGGGGAAUAUUGCACAAUGAGCGCAAUCCUGAGGCAGCCAUGCCGCGUGGAUGAAGAAGGCCUUAGGGUUUUAAAGUACUUUCAGCGGGGAGACGUUACCCGCAGAGGAAGCACCGGCUAACUCCGUGCCAGCCGCCGCGGUAAUUC